rfam:Capsicum annuum cultivar Zunla-1 chromosome 7, whole genome shotgun sequence
UAUUUGUAAUGCGGGUAAUCUCUUAGAAUUGACUUGAAUCUCUUCCAUGCAUGGUUGAGAUUUUUAUCAUAUCUUUGUAAGAAACCUAAGAUCUCACUUCUUAAAUU